rnacentral:rRNA from 1 species
GACGAACGCUGGCGGCGUGCCUAAUACAUGCAAGUAGAACGCUGAAGCGCGGAGCUUACUCUUCUUGGAUGAGUUGCGAACGGGUGAGUAACGCGUAGGUAACCUGCCUUGUAGCGGGGGAUAACUAUUGGAAACGAUAUCUAAUACCGCAUAACAAUGGAUUACACAUGUCAUUUAUUUGAAAGGGGCAAUUGCUCCACUACAAGAUGGACCUGCGUUGUAUUAGCUAGUAGGUGAGGUAAUGGCUCACCUAGGCGACGAUACAUAGCCGACCUGAGAGGGUGAGCGGCCACACUGAGACUGAGACACGGCCCAGACUCCUACGGGAGGCAGCCGUAGGGAAUCUUCGGCAAUGGGGGCAACCCUGACCGAGCAACGCCGAGUGAGUGAAGAAGGUUUUCGGAUCGUAAAGCUCUGUUGUAAGUCAAGAACGGGUGUGAGAGUGGAAAGUUCACACUGUGACGGUAGCUUACCAGAAAGGGACGGCUAACUACGUG